GGGGGGGGGGGGGGGGGGGGGGGGGGGGGGGGGGGGGGAGGGGGGGGGCCUGCGUGGGGGGGGGGCUCGAGUGGCGAACGGGUGGGUAACGCGGGAGUAACGUGCCCUUGACUUUGGGAUAACUUCAGGAAACUGGGGCUACUACCGGAUAGGAGCUCCUGCUGCAUGGUGGGGGUGGGAAAGUUUCGGCGGUUGGGGAUGGACGCGCGGCUUAUCAGCUUGUUGGUGGGGUAGUGGCUUACCAAGGCUUUGACGGGUAGCCGGCCUGAGAGGGUGACCGGCCACAUUGGGACUGAGAUACGGCCCAGACUCCUACGGGAGGCAGCAGUGGGGAAUAUUGCACAAUGGGCGGAAGCCUGAUGCAGCAACGCCGCGUGCGGGAUGACGGCCUUCGGGUUGUAAACCGCUUUCGCCUGUGACGAAGCGUGAGUGACGGUAAUGGGUAAAGAAGCACCGGCUAACUACGUG
rnacentral:rRNA from 1 species